rnacentral:rRNA from 1 species
GACGAACGCUGGCGGCGUGCUUAACACAUGCAAGUCGAACGAUGAACCCGGAGCUUGCUCCGGUGGAUUAGUGGCGAACGGGUGAGUAACACGUGAGUAACCUGCCCUUGACUCUGGGAUAACUGCGGGAAACUGUAGCUAAUACCGGAUACGACCCUCGGCGGCAUCGGCUGUCACUUAUGGAUGGACCCGCGUCGCAUUAGCUAGUUGGUGAGGUAACGGCUCACCAAGGCAACGAUGCGUAGCCGACCUGAGAGGGUGAUCGGCCACACUGGGACUGAGACACGGCCCAGACUCCUACGGGAGGCAGCAGUAGGGAAUCUUCCGCAAUGGACGAAAGUCUGACGGAGCAACGCCGCGUGAGUGAUGAAGGCUUUCGGGUCGUAAAACUCUGUUGUUAGGGAAGAACAAGUGCUAGUUGAAUAAGCUGGCACCUUGACGGUACCUAACCAGAAAGCCACGGCUAACUACGUGCCAGCAGCCGCAGUAA